GCGGGAGUAGUUCAGCGGUAGAACACGGGCUUCCCAAGCCCGGGGUCGCGGGUUCGAAACCCGUCUCCCGCU
rnacentral:tRNA from 1 species